CAGGAUACUACAAAUCAGGGUAUUAAUUUUGGCACAAGAGUAUGGUAAAAUUAGUACAUCGUCACCGUCACUGUCAGGAUAUUCUGCAGGAGCCGGGUCGGGACUUGCAACUGGUUGUGGAAUCUAAAAAUGGUCAAUGAAUAAUAGCCAACUUUGAAGUGUUAAUUUCUUGAGGUCAUAGGUAUGCUGUAGUAUGUGUGCAUCAGUGAUGAAAAAUACUUACCUGGAUGAUGGGGAGUUCUUUGGUUUUCCCAUCCCCACUGAAGUCUCGGCCGAUAAUUUGCAGAACCCGUUUUUCGAUUUGGGACAGUUCCUGCAAACCAUCGUCGUCUUCAGAUGGCCCGGCACCCCCUGUCUGUUGUAGCUUUUUCAACAGUUUAUUGGCCUUCGUUUUCACGGCCGAUUUCCAAUCACUCCAACACUAUUUAAAUUAUUUUAUUUUUAAAGAUGUGUGAACAAAAGAGAAAAAUAUGUAAUUUUAAGGUCAAGGAGGAAACACAUAAUGUAGAAAUACAAACUCUUUGUCACUGUUUGAUAUCCUUGUUUGCGCCACCACAGGCAUUCAGGGUGCGCAUAAGGCGCUUCCACAUAUUUUGCACCUUCGUACUGUCAGUUUCUUGGUUCCUCGCAAAUUUCAAGUGUUCCUCCAUGAAAUCUACGAGGAGCCCUUUCUGCUCUCCGCUGGGCUUGCUCAGCCUUUUCUUGUCCAUCUAAACAAUAUGGGAAUUGGAAUUUUUGGGAAAAUAAAUUUAUGCAAUUUU